UGGGGAAUUUUGGACAAUGGGCGAAAGCCUGAUCCAGCAAUGCCGCGUGUGUGAAGAAGGCCUUCGGGUUGUAAAGCACUUUUGUCCGGAAAGAAAUCCUUGGCUCUAAUACAGUCGGGGGAUGACGGUACCGGAAGAAUAAGCACCGGCUAACUACGUGCCAGCAGCCGCGGUAAUACGUAGGGUGCAAGCGUUAAUCGGAAUUACUGGGCGUAAAGCGUGCGCAGGCGGUUUGCUAAGACCGAUGUGAAAUCCCCGGGCUCAACCUGGGAACUGCAUUGGUGACUGGGCAGGCUAGAGUAUGGCAGGAGGGGGGUUAGAAUUCCACGUGUAGCAGUGAAAUGCGUAGAGAUGUGGAGGAAUACCGAUGGCGAAGGCAGCCCCCUGGGCCAAUACUGACGCUCAUGCACGAAAGCGUGGGGAGCAAACAGGAUUAGAUACCCUGGUAGUCCACGCCCUAAACGAUGUCAACUAGUUGUUGGGGAUUCAUUUCCUAGUAACGUAGCUAACGCGUGAAGUUGACCGCCUGGGGAGUACGGUCGCAAGAUUAAAACUC
rnacentral:rRNA from 1 species